GUUGGACAGAAUAGGGGUGAGAGAAAGAAGAAAGCCUUGUGCAGCAAGGCCACAGGCAGGAAGAGGGGAGGCAUGCAAUUAGCAAGAUAAGAAGAGCAAUUAACAUGAAAAUAGCAAUGAAAGGGAUGCAUCAUUCUGCAGUGAGGAAGUCAGUCAGUCAGUCAGUCAGAGGAGGGAAAUUGGUGAGACACAAAGCUUUUGAUUCCACCCUAUCUAAUAAAACUGAGCAGAAGUCCCCAAACAUGUGAAGAGUACUCCAUAAAACCCUAGUACAGAGUUAGCAGUUGGAGGAGGAAAAACUGACAAACAUCUCAGAAUGCCUAACCUUGUAAAAGCUGUUUUAGCAAGAGAUGAGUUGUGAGGUUUCUUGUUUAGAUUACAAGUAAAGAACAGACUGAGGAUAUUCAGUGUAGAAGAUGGGGAGAGCUGAGUGUCAUUGAAGAAGAUAGUUGUCUGGAAAGUUGUGUCGAAUCUAUAUAUGGAGGAAUUAAGUUUUUGAUACAUUGAACACUAAGUUUUCUUUGUCCCAAUCAAAAAUCUUAGAAAGAUCAGAAAUCAGAAGUUCUGUGGUGUUCCUGCAUGAUCUUUUGUCUUCCUGAAGGGUUGGUCGUCUCUGAAAAGAUGUGACAAGAUGUAUGGAAUGAUGAUGGGCAAGUGAUGGACACAAUCUGCUGAAGUUUAGCAGUCUGUCUUUGUGUGUAAGAGGAAGGUAGUAUAUUCAGAGUAUAUAAGUUGAUCAGAAGCCUAUGUGUGAUUUGAGAGCAGGGAAGUGUAAGAUGAAAGGAUACAAGGUAGUUGGUGCAUAGAAUUAUGUGUUGUAUUGUUGUGAUGCUUAGAGUACGUUGAACACCGGUGUAAAUUUAAGCUUUCUGAAGCAAAUUAAUCUCUCAAAAUCUAUGCAGAACUAGAUACUAUAUGCUUUUAAAGCACUUGCAUGAAUAUUACACUCUAGCCACCUUGAUCAUUAACUUUUAUUGGCCUUCAAUUAGUUGACAUGUUGAAUUGUACUGUGAAUAUGUUUGCUCCUUCCUGUUGAUACAUACGUUUAAAUAGCUGUGACACCCAUGUCAACUGUCAUCCUGACGGUCACUGAGUUGGUAGGAAUUAGUAAAAUACACUUCAGUACAAACACACUGAAGGUAAUGGUGCUUGGACUCUAGUGGUAUUGGAUGUGCAUUGUGUACAUGACCUGGCAUUAACAGCUGAGCAAGUGCAUCAAAUAGUGACUGUCUUGUCAAGUUUCGAGCUUAUUCCAAGAAAUGUGUGUGCACAUGCAUGCAUGCCAACAAGUGCGCACACACACAGAGGUAGAAAUAUAACAAGAUCCACAGACAGAAGUGGUGCAUUCUAACCCACAUAAUAAACCAAACCAAACCAAUGGAGAUAUGCAGUGCUUGACUGUCCUCCUUCAUAUGCAGUAACCUCCACAGGUGGGCACAGCAUCACCCCGAGCAACCACACCAUGGUGUAAGACAAGAGGUAAGUCAUUAUUAUCUGAGAUAUCUUUUCAAUUCUCAGGAGGUAAUAGGAAGCUAGGCUGAACCCUUGGGCUCACUUCACCACAUAACUCACCUGGUUGGGACUUUUUUUUUUCUCCCUACUAUACAAGGUUGUUGGAGGAGGUACUAGAGCUGUGUAGGGUAGCAGAGAUCUGAAGAUAUGCCAGUUGUAUAUUAAGUAAUGCAGAAGUAAAUGAAGGGAAAAUUGUGGCCAAGUUGUGCCCUAUUUAACCGUAAGGCUUCCUUAGGAUUACAUACAUAUGUACAACUUGCUUGGCUUUGAUAUACUCCUAUAUCUUUUAACAAGUUGAUGAUCCAUCUUUUUCUCUCCAUGGCCUGCUGCAUUCAUGUGGAGUGAUCCUCUCUUGGGCUAGAAUGACUACAAACCUGCCAGUGAAGGCCUCACCACCAUACAUAGCCUUCAGAUGCCAGACAAGCCCUCAGUGAUAGACAUCUGAUCAUGGUAUGGUUUAUUAAAUCACAUUGCACUAUUCCUCCCCACUACAUCGAUUCUGAACAGCUUUGCAAAGUUGCUAAAGAAGCCCGUGGCAAAGCAUGUAUAUUGGGAUGAGCGGCUGUGCAAAGAAUUUCACCCGUUCUCGGACACAAUGCCAGCUACCCAAUGAUGGGCUCAUAAACCACGACAGAUGUCACCUCAGUGCAGCUGUCACUGACAGGAACAAAGUUGUUUCCUGGCCAGGAACAGAGGGAGACUUGCAGUGGCAACAGAUAGGCAAACUGCUGGCAAGAGGUGUACAUACAUGCACACACAGAAGAUGCGCAUGCAGGUCUAAACAGCAGAAAGCACAGCCAAUAUAGCUAUAUAACUAGUUACCAGUAGCCAGAGAUGAGGAACAGAUUGGGUCUGGUAUGUUGAAUAAAGACCUUGGAAGCAGGAUGGCAUGUGUCUAGUCUUCAUGCCACCUACACUUCCACAACACCAUUUACUCUAAACGACCUCUUAAUUCAACCACUGGUAUUGAGAUCAUGCAUGUCAUUGAGACUUGUAUAGCUGUGUGGAGCAGUGGGGGCAACACUUAUACAGCUAAAGGAGUGUAAGCAGUGUUGUUUUCAUAAAGAAAUAUGCACUGAUGUAAUUCAUAUAUUGAAUACACGUACUGUAUAAACAGACUUAUUGUAAUGGAGAAAAAAAAAAAUUUAUAUGAGUUAGUCUUGAUAUCGUCUGACAGUGAGUUCCAUAGGUUGGGCCCCGCACAUAGUAUGAGAGAGAGAGAGAGAGAGGAGAGAGAGAAUGUUGGUCCAACCUUUGGUGGUGACACUCAUUCCUAUUCCUAUCAUAUCACACUUGAGACAGUCUUCUAUCUCUCUUGCUUUUCACACUUCUCUGCCAAAAGUAAAACGAUAAUCAUCUUAAUGUUGUUACAGAAUUUCUCCAGUUAUUACUUAGCUGCAGCUCCUCUAUGGAAAAUCUUUCUCCCUUUCUCAGGAAUAUAAGCUAGACCUUUACCAAUCACCAAGAUUUUAUUUCAAAAUAGUAAGUGCACAGUUAAAAAGAAGCACCACCUUGCAUGAUCUGAAUUAGGAAGCAGUAUACUCUACAAAUAGAUCAAUAGUUUUCAAACUCUGUUGCCUAGUGAGGCACUAAAUAUUCACCUUAUAAUUUAAAACACAUUAACUGUACAGUUAUGAAUUGCUGCACUCUAUGCACACAUUGUGUAAAGUGCUUUACAUGACACCAAAUAGUUUUGGCUUUAGUACUUGUCAUAAAACUGGUCAAACAUAAGCCUAAAUAAUUGGUAUAAAAUAGUAGUAACAGGUCAAAAUAGAAUGCCUUUAAGAUAUACAAUGUACAUGCAUGAGAAAUAAAAAUGACAAGAAAACACCAUAAAUAUACAAAAUUGUUUUACAAAUAUAUACAUUAAGAAAUCACCAACUCUAAUCCGAGGAGAUACAGAACAAGAAAUUUGUCCAAUUCAUCUUUAUCAACAUUUCAACACAUAUUUAAGUGAAAUACCCAUUUGGAUUCCUUUACACUGUUCAUGAAUUUCCUCAAUAUAAUUAUUCCCUUCAUUGUCAACAAUUCCUUCAUUAAAUCUGAAAAUUUGAAAUUCAUUGACUAAUAAGCAAGACCUUCAUAGUGUUAAAAAUAUGAUAAACAAUGUAACUGGGUGUUGUAUAUUACUUGAAAACUACAACACUCUACACAGGCACACUAUAAAGACACAUUAUACUUGGCGCUGGUCAGGCCACAUCUUGACUAUGCGGUACAAUUCUGGUCCUCACAAUUCAGGAAGGACAUAGCUCUGUUGGAGUCAAUGCAAAGGAGGAUGACUAAAAAGAUACAAGGAAUGGGGGAUAUUCCCUAUGAAGAGAAACAAAAAACUCAAUCUGCAUUCCUUAGAGAUCUUAGGAUCAGUAGAGGGGAUAGAACCAGAAAUAAUGGGUUUAAACCUGAAAAAUUCAGGUUUAGGAAAGAAGUGGGAAGAAACAGGUCUUCAGAGUGGUUGAGUGGAAUGGUCUCAGUGGUCAUGUAGUCAAUAGAGCUUUAAAAGAAGGUUAGAUGAUAGAUGAAAUUAGGUAGCUUAACCACACAGGGACUGCCUCUUAUAGGCCUGACGGCCUCUUGCAGCUUCCCUCUGUUCUUAUGUUUUUAUAUUAAAGUUUGUCCCAUCUACCAAAAUUAGUUAAGAAGUAUCAGCACUGCAUUUAGCAGGGAAAAGAAAAAUGAGUCAAUGCAUAUUUUACUCUGAAACAAGUUGAUAAAAAAUUAUAAGGUAUAUUUGUACUUUCAAUACUGUUACCACUACCACUACUACUGCUACUGCCAACACCACCACUGAUCUUAUAUCAGGCCAGCAGCAGCAACACACACGAUGGUCUAUAAAAGGCACCACACAUUUGCAUACACAAUAUUCAUGCUCCUAAACCCAUUGGCUAAAUAAUAACACACUCUUUUCUGUUUGGGACCAAAUAGUAAUAGUAAUAAUAAUAAUAUUAUUAUUAUUGAUAACAAUAAUAAUCCUUGCUAGCAGGUACAUCUUGGAUACAGAAGAAACAAAAACUGAAGCCCAUUUCCUUAGAUCAGGGGCGGGCAACCUCCGGCCCGUGGGCCACAAAUUAUACUAUUGAAUUACUUUACAUUUCAUUAUUAUUAUUAUGAUUAUUAUUAGUAGUAGUCGUGUGUGCAUACGUUUUCUUUUAUUACUAUAGUAUUCCAUGCAUUUGUCUCAUUUUUUAUUGAAUAUUAUACAAAAUAUAGUAUUUCUGAGAUUUCGUUUUUCACUCCGGCCCGCGACCUCCUUCCAAGAGUCUCAUCUGGCACUCACUCUAAAAAGGUUGCCUGCCCCUGCCUUAGAUAAACCACAAAGCAUUGCAGAACUUUCUUUAAGUCACACGGAGGCCUCAUCCUCUGCUGGUGAAUAGAGCCUCUCACAUCUGUACAGCAUUUUUUUUUUUUUUUCCUAAGGUAAGGCCUAUAGUGCCAGUAGGCUCACUUGAAGAGUGUGUAGGAAGCACUGUUCAGCUUCUGCCCAAUAGUGGCGCAGGCAAUUUUAUUUAUGGUGGUACCCAUAUUAGGUUACACCCAAGCACACCUUGGGUGUAACCACCUAGAACCUGGGUAUCAUGGUGAUAUGUAGGUAACUUUAAGCCACUUGACAAAUGGCAAAGUGUUUUAAGGCUGUACGUGGUGGGAUUUGAACCUACGCAUGGACAUCUGCCCGAUCCCAUGCUCGCCACCUUUAUAUAACAUAACUCUAACAGAAACUCUUACAGAGCCUUGAAUAGAACAAUAGAGGAAACCGAGAAAGAAACAACACAGAAAACAGAAUCAUAGGAACACUUCAUUACUUCCUCACAUAGCUGGUUAUCUUACAUGGCCAACGUGUACUUGUAUUACCAUGAAAAGUUUGAGUUAGCGGUUGCACAUAUUCCAAAUAGAACAGGAACUCUUCAGACCUUCUAAUUCUAUAUCCUUUUCUCAUGAUUUUAACUGGAAACUUCACAUAUCAUCUCUUGCUAAAACAGCUUCUAUGAAGUUAGGUGUUCUGAGGCGUCUCUGCCAGUCUUUCUCGCCCCUCCAACAGCUUACUCUGUAUACGGGCCAUAUCCGUCCCUGUAUGGAGUACUCUUCACAUGUUUGGCUGGUUCCAGUCACACAGUUUUACUAGAUAGUAUGGAAUCAAAAGCUCUUCUUCGUCUUAU